rnacentral:rRNA from 1 species
CAGUCGCCACGGUAAUACGUAGGGUGCGAGCGUUAAUCGGAAUUACUGGGCGUAAAGCGUGCGCAGGCGGUUUUGUAAGACGGGCGUGAAAUCCCCGGGCUCAACCUGGGAAUGGCGCUUGUGACUGCAAAGCUAGAGUGCGGCAGAGGGGGACGGAAUUCCGCGUGUAGCAGUGAAAUGCGUAGAUAUGCGGAGGAACACCGAUGGCGAAGGCAAUCCCCUGGGCCUGCACUGACGCUCAUGCACGAAAGCGUGGGGAGCAAACAGGAUUAGAUACCCCGGUAGUCCCUGUCUCUUAUAC